rnacentral:lncRNA from 1 species
UAUUAUCCUCUUCUUCUUUUUUUUUUUGCUUUUCUUGAACCCCGAAACUUUCUGAUGAUAAUUUUUUUUGCUUUUCUCUGAUUGAACUAUAUUUUCGCGCUGAUCGCGUAACGUCCUUUGAUUUUAUUUCCAUCUCCGCCCGUCGGAAAAGUUUCCUCCAGUAUCGCACUACUGGGGAACAUUGUUGAUCUGACGUUAUGAUGCUAAACUCCUCAGAGCAACAUCUUCACCAUCCGGUGAAACCAAGUCUCA